CCUCAUGCUCUCCACUGGAAGUAUAUCUCACAAUUCAUAUUCAAAUCGUAUUGGAAAGUAGCUACUUCAUGGCUGCAGUUCAAACUUAAAAAGCAUGUCUGUUUCUAAUUUGUGAGGGACAGUAUUGCAUCUGGAGGACAGGAUUCCCAUCUCAGCCACAAGGACAAAGACAUCUUUCUGCCAACCAAGGCAUCAACGAUGUUUGAAAGGCAAAGGAAGUAUCAUUGAACUAGCAGGGGAGGCCCUGACUGAAGUAAUCUACCCAUACUGCUGUGCACUUAGAACUUCCUGAAAAUCUCUCAGAACAAUCCCAAUUUCUAUAUCAUCUUUUUGUUCCAGAGGCAUCUAACCAUUCCUCACGUGGAAAAUUAGUGGAGCUUUUGACAGAGACUGAGCAGAAAAAGAAAAUGAUGUUUUAGCCCCUGGGAGCUUUCUUCAGACUUCCUCAGAUGGCUCGGAGACCAAAACAGUUUUCUUUCUCUUCAUUCCUGCUCACCAGUAUCUAUGUUGUUAAAAUUCACACUGGGCGGAAGUUUGGCACGCAAAGUCUCAGCUCAGGAUGGAACCUGAAAGAGAAGGAAAAAGAAAUGAAUCACUUUGACUUAAAAAUGGAAUUUAUAAUGAAAAACACUGAUAGAAUCUUUGUACAGAA